CUAGAAUUCUCUGGAAGUUCAUCCCAGAUGUGACUCAAGAGGCGGGCUGACCUGUGUGAGGGAUGGAAAUGCAUUCCUUCACAUUCAGUUCCUUGCUCUGGCGGUUAUCACCUCUAACAGGAUCUCUGUGCACUCAGCCCUCAGCCCAUGUCUCUCACAAACUGCAGAAGGCUGCAGGAAGGCUUUAAAAGACUGCCUUCAUAUGGUGUCAAGAUGGUUCCUGGAAGCUCCACACUUACUGGUUACUAAAGAUGAUGAUGUCACAGAAAGAUAGAAACCAUCUUGUCUUCAACAGCCUCAUCAACUCCUGAGAAGGAGGUUGCUCAGGUUUGGAAUCAUGCUGUAGACCAAUCUUAAACAAAAAUGUUUAUACGUUCCAUAUAUGUGACAUUCCAGAUAAUGUCUCUUCAUGAUAAAAGAAGUCUGGUUAGGUGAAAUGGUACAUGCCUGGAGAGAGGUAUGAGCAGCAGAAAAGGCAGAAGAGAUAUAGCAAGGAUAACAAAAGGGGAAACCAAAGACCAAUGAGGAGAUUGUAGUGCACUCAUGGAGAGCGGAGGAAAGGACCUGACUUUCAGCGUAACUGGCUUUGUCCCUGUGAAUGAAUGUUUCCCUAGCAUUGGAAAGGUGGUGGCAAGACACCAGAACCACACAUCCCUGAAAAGACCUAACACAUGAAAGAUAAUCUUAGUUUCUGCUGUGACUUAUAA